UACGUAGGGUGCAAGCGUUAAUCGGAAUUACUGGGCGUAAAGCGUGCGCAGGCGGUUUUGUAAGUCUGUCGUGAAAUCCCCGGGCUUAACCUGGGAAUUGCGAUGGAGACUGCAAAGCUAGAAUCUGGCAGAGGGGGGUAGAAUUCCACGUGUAGCAGUGAAAUGCGUAGAGAUGUGGAGGAACACCGAUGGCGAAGGCAGCCCCCUGGGUCAAGAUUGACGCUCAUGCACGAAAGCGUGGGGAGCAAACGAGGAUUACGAA
rnacentral:rRNA from 1 species